UUUCUUUGAAGAAAAAAAAUAAAGCUGCAGCCUGCAAGGCUUCCCAGAACCAUCAUUUCUUGGCUGGGUUAGGAGGAGAGGUUCUACUGUUUCUGUCCAGGUCACUUCUCAGCACCUUAUACCCCAGCAUUUAGCCCAACUAGUCAACAAUUCUGACUGAGCACAGAAGUUCUUCGCUGAUGAUGGAGCUCUAAAAAGCCACUUGGUUCAAACCCUCCAUCCUUCUUGGAUCUCACUUGAGAACUUAGAUGAGAAAACUGAAGGUCUGGAUGAUGACCUUAGUCCAAAGUCACAGAGAUAGUUAGCAGUGGAGCCCCUCCUGGCACCUCACCUGAGUCUUUUCUGUUGGCCUCUACCACUAGUGAGCCAGAAGUUUACAUAGGAAAAGUAAGAGUUUGUGUUUCCUUUGCAGUACAGAAAUAAAUUGAAGCCAUUUUGAGAGAGACAAGAGAUUCUUGUGAAAUCAACACUUUGAAUUCUUUCAAGAAACUAUGGGAUAACAGAAUGUACCUCCACAUCUUGCCUGCGCUAUAACUAGCCUUCAAAAUUGGACCCCAUCAUCCUCUCGUAGAAGUCUUUACUGUUACCACAAGUUAUUUCAACAUGAGUUCCAGCAUUGUAAAAGUGGGAGAUGAAGGCUGAUUCUCUCCUCUGAGAUCAGUUGAAACAUGGAGAUCAUGGUGCUAAUGACUUUUCUAUUCAAUUGUUUCCAAGAGUUCGAAAGACAAGUCUUUUAGGGAUUUUCUGGUUUCCAAAGUCAUAUUAACAAUGGCAAUAUAUUUUCCUUGUGCUGCCAUGUUGUGUGUGGAAAAAAUUACACAAACAAAGAUACCUGAUUUCCAUUUGGCAUAGCUGUAUGGAAUAGUGAACUGUGAUAAAUUGUCAUCAUUGA